rnacentral:rRNA from 1 species
UACGAAGGGGGCUAGCGUUGUUCGGAAUUACUGGGCGUAAAGCGCACGUAGGCGGAUCAUUUAGUCAGGGGUGAAAUCCCGGGGCUCAACCUCGGAACUGCCUUUGAUACUGAUGGUCUCGAGUCCGAUAGAGGUGAGUGGAAUUCCUAGUGUAGAGGUGAAAUUCGUAGAUAUUAGGAAGAACACCAAUGGCGAAGGCGGCUCACUGGAUCGGUACUGACGCUGAGGUGCGAAAGCGUGGGGAGCAAACAGG